UGUACUGCAGCUAAAAAUGUGCUGUGAGAGGAAGGAGGGAGGGAUUAAGGGAGGAACAAAACUGGGACUCAAGUACAGAAAAGACAGACUUUCACAGUGCUGUUUCAUAUGAAAACCAGACAGAUUCUCUUUAAGAUGCUGUCAGUGAACUUCAGUCUGUUUGUCACUUUGUGUCUGCUCACAAUCAGAGGUGUCAGCUGUGAAGAUCUCAGUCCAGUCAAAGAUGAACAGUCCAGUUUAGAAGACAGCUCUGUUACUCUGUCCUACAGAUACAGCAAGAAAGCAACUGGUUCUGAUAACUUCUUCUGGUAUCGACAAGAUCCAGGAAAGCCACCAGAGUUCCUCAUCUCUCACUCAGGAACAGGAAGAAUAUUAAUGAGUCCAAAGUCUGGACUGUCUGUUACAGUGAGUGAGGAAAACACUCACAUGAAUGUUCAGAUCUCCUCUGCUGCAGUGACAGACUCUGCUCUGUACUACUGUGCUGUGAGGCCCACAGUGACAGCAAACCCACAGUCUCUGUACAAAAACACAAGCUGA